UGGGGAAUAUUGGACAAUGGGCGAAAGCCUGAUCCAGCCAUGCCGCGUGUGUGAAGAAGGCCUUAUGGUUGUAAAGCACUUUAAGCGAGGAGGAGGCUACUUUAGUUAAUACCUAGAGAUAGUGGACGUUACUCGCAGAAUAAGCACCGGCUAACUCUGUGCCAGCAGCCGCGGUAAUACAGAGGGUGCAAGCGUUAAUCGGAUUUACUGGGCGUAAAGCGUGCGUAGGCGGCUAAUUGAGUCGGAUGUGAAAUCCCCGAGCUUAACUUGGGAAUUGCAUUCGAUACUGGUUAGCUAGAGUGUGGGAGAGGAUGGUAGAAUUCCAGGUGUAGCGGUGAAAUGCGUAGAGAUCUGGAGGAAUACCGAUGGCGAAGGCAGCCAUCUGGCCUAACACUGACGCUGAGGUACGAAAGCAUGGGGAGCAAACAGG
rnacentral:rRNA from 1 species